GGGAACUUCAUUAUUAACAUAUAAAAUCCUUAACCACAGUUCUUUAUGCAUCUUUGUUUUAAAUAAAGCACACAUGAAAGUUUUUUCCAGAGUGAAUUAGUGCACAAAGCGUUAUCAGCUUAUGUGGGCAGUAGUUCAGAGCAGUAAAAACUAUAUCCUGCUUACACCUUCCAGCCUAUCCUAUGACCUGGUCUGAGUAAACAAGUUGUACCAGGAUCUCUGAAUUACUAGUAAGUAGCUGGGUUUUUUUACAGGUUAUUUAGAUCCAAGAGGAGGCAAGAUAAAGUUCCAAGAAGUUCUCCCUUGGGAAUGGUCUCCUGAUAACUGCCUUAUACACCGAGAAGAAUACACAGCGUUUUUGGGACGCGCCUUUGUUGGAUUUUAAUAUAUGUCCUGCUAACAACAGCUUUCAACUAUGGAAUCGAAAAACUGCUGCAUUACGCGGAGCUAAUUCUCCAGGAGUCACCGAUUUGAACGGUUUGUAGCACAGAGCUCUAGUGUGCGAGCUGACAGCUGGUAUAAUUCGCACUUUCCUAACAUC
rnacentral:lncRNA from 1 species